GGAGACGUGGCCGAGUGGCCGAAGGCACCUCCCUGCUAAGGAGGCAUUUGGGCUUAACCCUGAAUCGUGAGUUCGAAUCUCACCGUCUCCGCCA
rnacentral:tRNA from 1 species